GUCACAAACAGCCCUCUCCUCCUGGAGAAGGCUUUCCAGCCCAAAUUCUGGGCCUCAUUUGGGAGGGUGUGGUUCUGGGCUCCCGUGGAGCUCUCAUGCAGGGAGGAUCUGGCUCACUGGGGAGGAAAUUCUGCCCUCCACCUCCCUGUCCUCCUGGUUCAGCUUCACAGCUUGCCAGUGGGGUUUGGCCAGGGGCACACAUUCGUCCUUUUAGAUGCCUCCUCUCACCUUUCCUUAGCGCCAGAGCCUCUCGGGGGUGUCCCCCAGGUUGGGACAGCCUCUCACCCCAUCCUCUGCCCGGGGGAGCUCCCGCAGCUGCCCUGCUUUGUGCUCUGCUUCCCCGGCACCGCUUAUGCAAGAGCCUUUGGAAGCGAGACAAAAUUACAGCGGGAAGAAAUCAUCGCACGGCUCUGGUGGGAAAAGAUAUUAUCCUGCGUUGCCAGCGAGACCGGCCGUCGGCAGGUAGUUCCUCCCCUUUCCAGGAUGUUGAGAACAGCAGUGGGAUAUUUAUCCUUGAGAAGGGGAGGAUUCAGAGGGAUGUAAAGCAGCUGUGCAGUACCUGUGAGGAGGUGUUUGAGAAGACAGCCAGAGCCUUCAGAGCAGUGUAUGGUGAGAGGAGGAGACACCACAGGUAUGAGGUAAGUUAUGAGAAGCUCAGACUGGUGAUGAAGACACGUUUUUUUCCAUGAAGGCAGCCAAGCACCAGCAGCUUGCCCAGGAAAGCUGUAGUGUCUCCAUCCUCUGAGGUUUCCAAGCCCCACGGGACAAUGAGGUCUUGCAGUUGACCUUGCUUUGAGCAGAAAGUUGAACUAGAGACCUCCUGAGGUCCUCUCUGACCUGGGAAAUUCUGCCACUUCAUGUCGAGAUCAGCAUUCCAGGACUGCUCCACCUCCUCAUACAGUGAACUCCAAAGCAGAUUUUAGGUUCCUGCAGGCUGGAAGAAAGUGGCUGAACCAUGUCUAAGGCCAUGGAUCACCACGCACUGGCUUCAUAAAAUCACGUAAUUAAAUCCUGGAAUGGUUUGGGUUGGAAGGGACCUUAAAGCUCUUCUCAUUCCAACCCCCUGCCAUGGAGGGACAUCCUCCACGAGACCAGGUUACCCAGAGCUCCCCCAGUUCUGCACUAGGACAUGGAUGGAGCCAUCCAUGGCAUCUCCUGGGCAGGGCUCUCACCCCAGGACUGUCCCAGGUAUCAGAGUGAAGCAGAAGGAGAACCACAAGGUCUGGCAGCCGCCCAGCUGUCCCUGAGCCAACAGGAGCCAGCAGGAUGCCCAGAGAUGGCUCCUGCCAUCCCCUGCGCUGCUGCAGGCCAGUCUGGAGCGCUCGGGGACCCGAGGGAGGCUGCGCUGGUUGAGUCAGUGCCUCUGAGCUCAGCCUCGUAAAAACCCUGCGGACCACAGAGGCUGAUGUGCAGCACAGCCACAGCUCCUCCCUCCCUUUUUCUGUGACCUCUUUGUGAGGCAGCUUUUGGUGCUGAGGUUCACAUCCUCUCCAGAUCUGCUGGCUAUGGCAAAACGAAAUUGGCUCUGCACAAGCUCCCCAGCUCCACGUGCACUUCCCAGCAGAGGAGAUGGGGAGGGCUAAAACUGCGGUGUGCUGGGUGUUCCUGUCAGCAAGGCAAAGCUCACCUGGGGGAUGCUCAGGGUUCCUUCAGCUUGUGCAGCUCCUCCCUCCCAGCCCAGCUCCUUCC
rnacentral:lncRNA from 1 species